AAAGACCCCAUGGAGCUUUACUGUAGUUUGAUAUUGAGUGUCUGUACCGCAUGUACAGGAUAGGUAGGAGCCGUAGAAAUCGGAACGCUAGUUUCGAUGGAGGCGCUGGUGGGAUACUACCCCUGCGUUAUGGCCACUCUAACCCGCACCACUAAUCGUGGUGGGAGACAGUGUCAGAUGGGCAGUUUGACUGGGGCGGUCGCCUCCUAAAAGGUAACGGAGGCGCCCAAAGGUUCCCUCAGAAUGGUUGGAAAU
rnacentral:rRNA from 1 species